rnacentral:rRNA from 1 species
CCAGACUCCUACGGGAGGCAGCAGUGGGGAAUAUUGCACAAUGGGGGAAACCCUGAUGCAGCGACGCCGCGUGAGUGAAGAAGUAUUUCGGUAUGUAAAGCUCUAUCAGCAGGGAAGAAAAUGACGGUACCUGAUUAAGAAGCCCCGGCUAACUACGUGCCAGCAGCCGCGGUAAUACGUAGGGGGCAAGCGUUAUCCGGAUUUACUGGGUGUAAAGGGAGCGUAGACGGUGAUGCAAGUCAGAAGUGAAAGCCCGGGGCUCAACUCCGGGACUGCUUUUGAAACUGUGUGACUGGAGUGCAGGAGAGGUAAGCGGAAUUCCUGGUGUAGCGGUGAAAUGCGUAGAUAUCAGGAGGAACACCGGCGGCGAAGGCGGCCUGCUGGACCGUGACUGACGUUGAGGCUCGAGAGCGUGGGGAGCAAACAGGAUUAGAUACCCCAGUAA